AUGUAUGACCAGAAGAAGACACGACCUGAAGGUCGUGUUCCUAAGGGGAAACAAAGGAGCCAUUGGAAUGGGGUUUUGGAACGGUGCCAGAACCAGCGUGUGUCGCGAAUUUCAGAUACUGCGGAGGUUAGUGUUCCGACGAAGAUUGUUGCGGACAUGAGGGACAUGAUGAGGCUGUGGAAGGCGGGGAUGGGGCCGAGAGGAUGUGGCGGCGGUUGGGGAAGAGGAGGGAGAGGGAGAGAUGGAGGAAAGAGAGAGGGUGAGGUAGGUGGCUAUGGAGGUGAAGAGGAAGGACCAGGUGGAGCCCCAUGA